rnacentral:rRNA from 1 species
AACGAACGCUGGCGGCAUGCCUAACACAUGCAAGUCGAACGAGACCUUCGGGUCUAGUGGCGCACGGGUGCGUAACGCGUGGGAACCUGCCCUUAGGUUCGGAAUAACUCCCCGAAAGGGGUGCUAAUACCGGAUAAUGUCUUCGGACCAAAGAUUUAUGGCCUCUGGAUGGGCCCGCGUUGGAUUAGCUAGUUGGUAGGGUAAAAGCCUACCAAGGCGACGAUGCCGAGCUGGUCGGAGAGGAUGAUCAGCCACACUGGGACUGCGACACGGCCCAGACUCGGAGGGAGGGGAGCAGUGGGGAAUAUUGGACGAUGGGCGAAAGCCUGAUCCAGCAAUGCCGCGUGAGUGAUGAAGGCCUUAGGAUUGUAAAGCUCUUUUACCCGGGAUGAUAAUGACAGUACCGGGAGAAUAAGCUCCGGCUAACUCCGUG